GGUUCAAUGGUCUAGUGGUUAUGAUUUCUGUCUUACACACAGAAGGUCCCCGGUUCGAACCCGGGUUGAACCA
rnacentral:tRNA from 2 species